AACGAACGCUGGCGGCAUGCUUAACACAUGCAAGUCGAACGAGACAUUCGGGUUUAGUGGCGCACGGGUGCGUAACGCGUGGUAACCAGCCCUUAGGUUCGGAAUAACUCCCCGAAAGGGGUGCUAAUACCGGAUAAUGUAAUCGGACCAAAGAUCUAUCGCCUGUGGAUGGGCCCGCGUUGGAUUAGCCAGUUGGUAGGGUAAAAGCCUACCAAGACGACGAUCCAUAGCUGGUCUGAGAGGAUGAUCAGCCACAUUGAGACUGAGACACGGCCCAGACUCCUGCAGGCGGCGGCAGAUAGGACUAAUGGACAAUAAGCGUAAGCCUGAUCCACCAAUUGCGCGUUGGUGAUAAAGGCCUUAUAGUUAUAUCGCGCUUUUGCCCGGGAUGAUACAAAGAGUACCGGGAAAGAAGACUCGGACAAGCACCGUC
rnacentral:rRNA from 1 species